GAACUACAAAGUAAACUAUUUUAAUAAAGGGUAAGAUGACGACCAAAAGAUAUAUAUAUAUAUGUAUAUAUAUACACACAUAUAUACAUACAUACAUAUAUAUGUGUGUAUAUAUAUAUACAUAUAUAUAGAUAAUUAAGAGAGUAAAAAGGCAAGACAAAAGAGUGGAAGAAGAUAUCUGAACCACAUAUAACUGACAAAAGCUAUGUAACUAAAAUAGAGUGAAGAUGACAAAUUUAAAAAUAAAUGAACAGAAGACUUCAACAGGAUUGAGACAAGGACAUCAUUAAGGGGGAGAGGGAGAUGAAUCAUUCGGCCUGCCACACCAUUGAAGACAAAGGUGCAUCGCCUGUGGAAAAGAAUUUGUCAACACCUAGCAAAACUACAUACAUUUACCCUUUAACCUCAUAAUUCUACUAGGAAUCUAUGCCAAAAUAACAUGGCAAAAAAUUUUUAAAAAUUUCAAAAACAGACAUGUACAAGGCUAUCUGUAACAGUAAAAAACUGAAAAUAA